AGGAUAAUAGUUUAAAUUAAAACAUUUAAUUUGCAUUUAAAAAAUAUUUAUUAUUAAUUUAUCUUA
rnacentral:tRNA from 1 species